rnacentral:rRNA from 1 species
UACAGAGGUGGCAAGCGUUGUUCGGAAUUACUGGGCGUAAAGGGCGCGUAGGCGGCCAUCUAAGUCAGACGUGAAAUCCCCCGGCUUAACCUGGGAACUGCGUCUGAUACUGGAAGGCUUGAGUAUGGGAGAGGGAUGUAGAAUUCCAGGUGUAGCGGUGAAAUGCGUAGAUAUCAAGCGGAACACCAGUGGCGAAGGCGAGUCCCUGGACAACUCCUGACACUGAGGCACGAAAGCUAGGGGAGCAAACAGG